AUGGGAUCCCCCACUGGCCACCGCAAGGGCAUUGCCACGCUCGCGACUCUCACGGCCUGGUCCAUCUGGAAACAGCGCAACCGGUGUGUUUUCGACGACAAGACCCCCUCCAUCUCGCAGCUCUUCGCGUCUAUCCAGGACGAGGCCCGUUCCUGGGCCAGGGCAGGCGCGCACGGACUAAAUUCGUUACUUGUAUAG
rnacentral:rRNA from 1 species